UGAGGGAGGGGUGACUAGUGACGGGGGGGUGACUAGUGAGGGAGGGUGUGACUAGUGACAGAAUGAGGGAGAGGGUGACUAGUGACAGAGGGAGGGAGAUGGUGACUAGUGACAGAGUGAGGGAGGUGGUGACUGUCACUAGUCAACCCAUCCCUCCCUCUGUCACUAGUCACUCCCUCCCUAACUUUAUCACUAGUCAUCCUCUCACUCUGUCACUAGUCACCCCAUCCCUCCCUCUGUCACUAGUCACCCCGUCCCUCACUCUGUCACUAGUCACCCCCUUCCUCA